UACGAAGGGGGCGAGCGUUAUUCGGAAUCACUGGGCGUAAAGCGUGCGUAGGCUGUUUUGUAAGUUGGAAGUGAAAGCCCAGGGCUUAACCCUGGAAUUGCUUUCAAAACUACAAGACUUGAAUCCCGGAGAGGAUAGCGGAAUUGUCAGUGUAGCAGUGAAAUGCGUAGAUAUUGACAGGAACACCAGUGGCGUAAGCGGCUAUCUGGACGGGUAUUGACGCUGAGGCACGAAAGCGUGGGGAUCAAACAGG
rnacentral:rRNA from 1 species